AUUGAACGCUGGCGGCAGGCUUAACACAUGCAAGUCGAGCGGAGAUGAGGUGCUUGCACCUUAUCUUAGCGGCGGACGGGUGAGUAAUGCUUAGGAAUCUGCCUAUUAGUGGGGGACAACAUUCCGAAAGGAAUGCUAAUACCGCAUACGUCCUACGGGAGAAAGCAGGGGAUCUUCGGACCUUGCGCUAAUAGAUGAGCCUAAGUCGGAUUAGCUCGUUGGUGGGGUAAAGGCCUACCAUGGCGACGAGCUGUAGCGGGUCUGAGAGGAUGAUCCGCCACACUGGGACUGAGACACGGCCCAGACUCCUACGGGAGGCAGCAGUGGGGAAUAUUGGACAAUGGGGGGAACCCUGAUCCAGCCAUGCCGCGUGUGUGAAGAAGGCCUUAUGGUUGUAAAGCACUUUAAGCGAGGAGGAGGCUACUGAGACUAAUACUCUUGGAUAGUGGACGUUACUCGCAGAAUAAGCACCGGCUAACUCUGUGCCAGCCGCCGCCGUAA
rnacentral:rRNA from 1 species